rnacentral:rRNA from 16 species
AGGGAGUACGCUCGCAAGAAUGAAAAUCAAGGGAAUUGACGAGGGGGGCACACAAGCGAUCGAGCAUCUGGUUUAAUUCGAUGCAAACCAAAGAACCUUACCAGGGCUUGACAUGCCGCGAAUCCUCCUCAAAGAGAGGGGUGCCCUCAUGAACACGGACACAGGUGGUGCAUGGCUAUCGUCAGCUCGUUCGUAAGGUGCUGGGUUAACUCUCGCAACAAGCACAACCCUCGUAUUUAGUUGCCACUAUGAGUUUGGAACCAUGAAUAGACCGUCGGUGUUAAGCCAGAGGAAGGAGAGGAUGAGGCCAAGUCAUCAUGCCCCUUAUGUCGUGGGCGACACACGUGCUACAAUGGGAGGGACAAAGGGUCGCGAUCUUGCGAGGGUGAGCUAACUCCAAAAAGCCGUCCUCAGUUCGGAUUGCAGGCUGCAACUCGCCUUCAUGAAGCAGGAAUCGCUAGUAAUUGUCAGUCAGCCAUAUGGUGCUGAAUCCAUUCCUGGGCCAAGUACACACCGCCCGUCACACUAUAUGAGCUUUCCAUGUUUGAAGUCAUUACCCUUAACCGUAAGGAGGGGCUGCCUAAGGCUAGGCUUGAGACUUGAGUGAAGUCGUAACAAGGUAGCCGUACUGGUAGGUGCGGUUG